rnacentral:misc_RNA from 1 species
ACCAUUUUUCUGCACUUCUCUCAAGAAAUAAAACUUGAUAUUAAAAUGCUUAGUUCUUCCAUGAAACACUGGAUUUUGAGAUAUAGCUAUGGUAGCUUGAUUGUCCACAAAAAUCUCAGUGCUUUCUUCUUGCUCCAGCUGCAGAUCUAACAUAAUUUUCCUUAGCCACAAUGUUUGAUUAACAUCAAUUGUUGCUGCUACAAACUCUGCUUUAGUUGUUGAUUG